rnacentral:rRNA from 1 species
GAUGAGCCCGCGGCUAUCCACCUAUUUGGGGAGGUAACGGCUCACCAAGGCGACAACGGGUAGCCGGCCUGAGAGGGCGACCGGCCACACUGGGACUGAGACACGCCCAGACUCCUACGGGAGGCAGCAGUGGGAAAUAUUGCACAAUGGGCGAAAGCCUGAUGCAGCGACGCCGCGUGAGGGAUGACGGCCCUUCGGGUUGUAAACCUCUUUCAGCAAGGAUGAUGAAGCGAAACAACU